rnacentral:ncRNA from 1 species
GCGAUGAAGCGGGAGGUUGCGGCUGGUUCAGCCGGUUUUUCCGUGGAGUAUGUCCGAUUUUAAACCGGGCGACAA